CGCCUCACCGCGUGCACUGGUUCUGGCUGGGUCUUUCCUUCUGGAGAACCGCAUGCCCUUCACUGGGUGUGCUGGGGAACCAGGACUUUUACUCUGAAUAAAUUAGAUCGCUUAAAGAAGGCCUAUGCUCGAAUACAUUAGCAUGGAAUAAUAGAAUAGGACGUGUGGUUCUAUUUUGUUGGUUUCUAGGACCGCCGUAAUGAUUAAUAGGGACAGUCGGGGGCAUCAGUAUUCAAUUGUCAGAGGUGAAAUUCUUGGAUUUAUUGAAGACUAACUACUGCGAAAGCAUUUGCCAAGGAUGUUUUCAUUAAUCAGGAACGAAAGUUAGGGGAUCGAAGACGAUCAGAUACCGUCGUAGUCUUAACCAUAAACUAUGCCGAUUAGGGAUCGGACGGCGUUAUUUUUUGACCCGUUCGGCACCUUACGAUAAAUCAAAAUGUU
rnacentral:rRNA from 1 species